rnacentral:lncRNA from 1 species
UGGCCUGUCUCCAGUUCUAUGGCAUCUCUUAUUGUCUCCAAUUUUUUAAAUAUCAUUGGUAUGUAACACCCCCCAUCCCCCACUUUGGGUUCACUCUCCCACUUCACAUUAGCACUGGUGAGUUGUAUCCCAAGAAGAUGGCUGAAUACUUCUCCCUUAGGAUUCUAGGAGUAACUCUAGGGGCAACUUUUUUGGAGGUUGAUCAUGAGCCCCCAACCACCGAUUACUAGUUAGCCAGCUCAAGUUAAUUAUCUUAGAUUAGGUGAGCCUUUGUUGGCCUCAUUUGAGUUCUUAUACAUGUCCUGACCAACAAGAUAAGAUGGUCACCAAUCAGAAGGUCUUUUCAUGAGGGAUAGCUGGGAAGCGUAGUCCAGGCGGUGAAGAUGGCAACCAAUGAAGAGUCUCUAUCCCGGGUCAGUGUAGUCUAUCUAGACAGGAUGUGAAAGCGGCAAUGGGCAACCAAGGGAGAAGGCCAGCUCAUAGCUUGGGAUCUGGAUUAAGGCUCACAAGUAACACUAUCAAUGAGAGAUCAGAACUCUCCCAUAGAGGGCAGUAUGGGGGGGGUGAAAAGAUAGGGUAGGAUGCAGAGAGUCAAGGGUAAACAACCCAGCCCAGACCUUUGUCCAAAAUGAGUAGCUUGUACUUCUCAUCUCAUGGACCACGAGUUCUGCAUUUUAUGGGUCAGUUAACCUCCCUCCAUCUUAUGGAAAUGAUGGCGCCUGACUCUUCCACAUGUCAUUGAAAAUCUAAAAAUCAUUCCUUUUCAAAUAAGGGCUUUUCAUCAGUUCAGCUUGACUUUUCUCCCCAAUUAGUUUGAAUCAGUUCAACUAUAAAUAACACACAUGUUCCCUCCUUGUCAUCUUUCUUCCACAGAACCAAAAAAAAAAACUCAAGAAAAGAUUCAAAAUAACAACUUGAAGAAACUUUCUUCUUCCUCCUCUUUUUCUCACUUCCUUCCACAGCUGGCACUGGGCUGACUUCUGUUCAAGCUUUCACCAGUCUUCGGUGGGAUCUCAGGGGUGUAAAGAUCUGGUCUAUCACUUUGGUGAAGAAAGUAGGAGAAAGAAGAAUCUAAUUAAGUACACCAUUGACCACUUCGGAAAGGACUUUUUCAAGAGGAAAUGUCAGGAACAGCAUGAGCUGACAAACAACAGAGCUGGGGCCAGUCAGUCACAACAUCCCCCCACUGCAGCAGAGAGAGGCACAGAUGCGUUGCUGACAACUGAAUCCAUGCUCCCUUCUAAAUUCAAGCUACUAAAUAAAUUAGAAAGAGACUCUGAUUAUGUAUGCCCUCAACAACCAAGAUAGCAUCACUACCGUUGCAUUGAUCUGGGGUCUGGGGGGGAUCUUAGAGUGGCCCCAGCCACUGACAACAAUGACUCUAC